AAGAUGAUCAGACUGCUUCGCAGCUUGACGGUCGAAAAGAAGAACUCUGUUCAGGACCUCCAGGCCUAAGAAAGUUGAAGUGCGAAGCCUUGAAGCCAAUUGUGUGAAGCUCUACUUAUCCAAGAAUGCAUAUUAUAUAUUAUAAUAAUAGGCAUAUCUGCUUUGUAACAGAUUGGAAAAAUUGUAAUAUACUACCUUCGUGUUAAUUUGAUGAAUUUCACAUGUUCUUUCUGCUCUAUUUGAAAUAUUCAUAUCGUAUGCGAUUUGAAAA